AUGCCUUCGCCGGCCUCCCUCCCCGUGUCGCGAUUCCACGUGAUGCACUCCUACUACCGGCUCGGCUCCCUCGAGUCCAUCAAGAACCCCGUCCAGCCCAUGUUUGCCAUCGAGUGCACCGAGGUCGACUGCUUUGUGCCUCCGUCGAUGUGUCUUCUAGUUCUAGGUGGAGCAAACAUAAAUGACAGGGUCGAUGGCGAUGGAGCCAUUGAAUCGUGUGAUGUUGAGCCUGAAGCAGCUGGACUCUGCAAUCGUGACGUUGGACGCUGCAGAAGAGAAGACGGCAUAGCCGGAGUUUGA
rnacentral:rRNA from 1 species